rnacentral:tRNA from 1 species
CGCGCGCAUGCGCGGGCUGAACAGCGGACCGCCGGUCUCGGUCAGCGUCUCGGCGCCGUCGCGCCAGUUGAUCAUCUCGACCGCGCGCGGC